AGGGUUACAGGGCGGUGCUGUAAAACGGUCUUCCCCGUGUUUGGCAUGAGACAAACACGGAGAAAGGGCUCGGUUCAGCUGCGCUGCCCGGAGCGCCCACAGAGCUCACCACCAGCCUGCAUACACCGAUGCAAGCCCCCUUUGUUUUCACAACCGUUGUUGUAAUGACAGAAGACCCCCAAAGAGAUUUCAACAAAUCCAGCAUCAUUUUAAAAGUCUUUUCUCCAGAUGACUCCAAAACCAUCACCACUGCCUGAAACGAAUUAUGCAAGCCUUUUAACUAAAAAGAUGACAGUGGUUCAAGCACAUCUUGUCAGGUGAAAAGAAUACAAGUAAGAACAAUCUUCUGGAUGCAGCAAAGGAAGAUCUUUCUCUCAUAUACUCAAAGCUUUUACAAAUGUACUAGAUGGAACAAUUCCACCAUGCAAAGGAAGCUGGGUAACAACAACAACAA